rnacentral:sRNA from 1 species
GCUGAAUACUGUGGUGCAUGUCUGUAAUCCCAGCUACUUGGGAGGCUGAGACAGGAGGAUUGCAAGUUGGAGGUCAGGUUGGGCAACUUAGGGAGAACCUGUCUCAA